AUACGGAGGAUGCGAGCGUUAUCCGGAUUUAUUGGAUUUAAAGGGUGCGUAGGCUGUGCGUUAAGUCAGGAGUGAAAUGCCGUCGCUCAACGACGGAGCUGCCCUUGAUACUGGCGUGCUGGAGUACGGAUGCCGUUGGAGGAAUGAGUGGUGUAGCGGUGAAAUGCUUAGAUAUCACUCAGAACACCGAUUGCGAAGGCAUCUGACGAAUCCGUCACUGACGCUGAGGCACGAAAGCGUGGGGAUAGAACAGGAUUAGAUACCCUGGUAUUCCACGCCGUAAACGAUGAUGACUAACCGUCGGCGAUAGACAGCCGGUGGCGAAGCGAAAGCGAUAAGUCAUCCACCUGGGGAGUACGUCGGCAACGAUGAAACUCAAAGGAAUUGACGGGG
rnacentral:rRNA from 1 species